rnacentral:RNase_P_RNA from 1 species
GGGAGCAGCCGGGCAGCCGCUCUGACUAACAGAGAGGAAAGUCCGGGCUCCAGCAGGCAUGGUGGCUCCUAACAGGAGCAGGUCGCAAGACCUGGAAAGUGCCACAGAAAUCAUACCGCUGCGGAUAAAACCGUAGCAAGGGUGAAAUGGUGAGGUAAGAGCUCACCGCGUCGGUAGAAAUACCGACGGCAAAGGCAAACCCCACCAGGAGAAAAACCAAGCAGGGUCUGGCGCCUGCCCAUAAAAGACCCGGGUAGGUUGAUCGAAUCAGAAAGAGAUUUCUGAUCCAGAUGAAUGGCUGCCUUAAAACAGAACCCGGCUUACCAGCUGCUCCCAUCA